UACAGAGGGUGCGAGCGUUAAUCGGAAUUACUGGGCGUAAAGCGUGCGUAGACGGUUAUUUAAGUCGGCUGUGAAAGCCCCGGGGCUCAACCUGGGGAAUUGCGCGCGAAACGGGGGGGCUUGAGUUCGGGAGAGGAGCGUGGAAUUCCCAGUGUAGAGGUGAAAUUCGUAGAUAUUGGGAAGAACACCGGUGGCGAAGGCGGCGCUCUGGACCGAGACUGACGCUGAGGCGCGAAAGCGUGGGGAGCAAACAGG
rnacentral:rRNA from 1 species